rnacentral:rRNA from 1 species
AGCAAUCCCUGAGUAAAGUGGCGUACGGGUGAGUAACACGUGGGUAAUCUACCUUUUGGUGGGGAAUAACCCUGGGAAACCGGGGCUAAUACCGCAUAAUCUCGUGAGAGGAAAGGAGCAAUUCGCCGAAAGAGGAGCCCGCGGCUGAUUAGCUAGUUGGUGAGGUAAAGGCUCACCAAGGCAAUGAUCGGUAGCCGGCCUGAGAGGGCACACGGCCACACUGGCACUGAAACACGGGCCAGACUCCUACGGGAGGCAGCAGUGGGGAAUCUUGCACAAUGGGGGCAACCCUGAUGCAGCGACGCCGCGUGAGCGAUGAAGCCCUUCGGGGUGUAAAGCUCUUUCGGCAGGGACGAUAAUGACGGUACCUGAAGAAGAAGCUGCGGCUAACUACGUGCCAGCAGCCGCGGUAAUACGUAGGCAGCGAGCGUUGUUCGGAGUUACUGGGCGUAAAGAGUGCGUAGGCGGUUUUCUAAGUUUGGUGUGAAAUCUCCCGGCUUAACUGGGAGGGUGCGCCGAAAACUGGAAGGCUUGAGUAUGGGAGAGGUAAGCGGAAUUCCUGGUGUAGCGGUGAAAUGCGUAGAUAUCAGGAGGAACACCUGCGGUGUAGACGGCUUACUGGACCAUAACUGACGCUGAGGCACGAAAGCGUGGGUAGCAAACAGGAUUAGAUACCCUGGUAGUCCACGCCCUAAACGAUGCAUACUUGGUGUGGGUAGUUCAUUCUAUCCGUGCCGGAGCUAACGCGUUAAGUAUGCCGCCUGGGGAGUACGGUCGCAAGGCUGAAACUC